rnacentral:rRNA from 1 species
AACGAACGCUGGCGGCGCGCCUAAUACAUGCAAGUCGAGCGAGAAGGUGUAGCAAUACACUUGUAAAGCGGCGAACGGGUGAGGAAUGCAUGGGUAACCUACCCUCGAGUGGGGAAUAACUAGCCGAAAGGUUAGCUAAUACCGCAUACGUUUCCGGAACUUCGGUUUCGGAAAGAAAGCAAUACCGUGGGUAUUGCGCUCCUGGAUGGGCUCAUGUCCUAUCAGCUUGUUGGUGAGGUAACGGCUCACCAAGGCUUCGACGGGUAGCUGGUCUGAGAGGACGAUCAGCCACACUGGCACUGCGACACGGGCCAGACUCCUACGGGAGGCAGCAGUAAGGAAUAUUGCGCAAUGGACGGAAGUCUGACGCAGCGACGCCGCGUGGGGGAUGAAGGUCUUCGGAUUGUAAACCCCUUUCGGGAGGGAAGAUGGAGUGGGUAACCACUUGGACGGUACCUCCAGAAGCAGCCACGGCUAACUUCGUGCCAGCA